UAGUCCACGCCGUAAACGAUGGUCACUAGCUGUUCGGACAUUAAGUUUGAGUGGCUAAGCGAAAGUGAUAAGUGACCCACCUGGGGAGUACGUUCGCAAGAAUGAAACUCAAAGGAAUUGACGGGGGCCCGCACAAGCGGUGGAGCAUGUGGUUUAAUUCGAUGAUACGCGAGGAACCUUACCAGGGCUUAAAUGUAAGUUGCAUAGAGUAGAGAUAUUCUUUUCUUCGGACCACUUACAAGGUGCUGCAUGGUUGUCGUCAGCUCGUGCCGUGAGGUGUCAGGUUAAGUCCUAUAACGAGCGCAACCCCUGUUGUUAGUUGCCAGCAUGUAAAGAUGGGAACUCGUAACAAGACUGCCGGUGCAAACCGUGAGGAAGGUGGGGAUGACGUCAAAUCAUCACGGCCCUUACGUCCUGGGCUACACACGUGCUACAAUGGUAGGUACAGAGAGCAGCCACAACGCGAGUUGGAGCGAAUCUAUAAAACCUAUCACAGUUCGGAUCGG
rnacentral:rRNA from 1 species